AUUGAACGCUGGCGGCAGGCCUAACACAUGCAAGUCGAACGAGCGGCGGACGGGUGAGUAAUGUAUGGGAAACUGCCCGAUGGAGGGGGAUAACUACUGGAAACGGUAGCUAAUACCGCAUACUAUCGGAUGUACCCAGAUGGGAUUAGCUAGUGGGUGGGGUAAAGGCUCACCUAGGCGACGAUCCCUAGCUGGUCUGAGAGGAUGACCAGCCACACUGGAACUGAGACACGGGCCAGACUCCUACGGGAGGCAGCAGUGGGGAAUAUUGCACAAUGGGCGCAAGCCUGAUGCAGCCAUGCCGCGUGUAUGAAGAAGGCCUUCGGGUUGUAAAGUACUUUCAGCGGGGAGGCGUUACUCGCAGAAGAAGCACCGGCUAACUCCGUGCCAGCAGCCGCGGUAAUAC
rnacentral:rRNA from 1 species